rnacentral:rRNA from 1 species
GAUGAACGCUGGCGGCGUGCCUAAUACAUGCAAGUCGAGCGAAUGGAUUAAGAGCUUGCUCUUAUGAAGUUAGCGGCGGACGGGUGAGUAACACGUGGGUAACCUGCCCAUAAGACUGGGAUAACUCCGGGAAACCGGGGCUAAUACCGGAUAACAUUUUGAACCGCAUGGUUCGAAAUUGAAAGGCGGCUCCGGCUGUCACUGAUGGAUGGACCCGCGUCGCAUUAGCUAGUUGGUGAGGUAACGGCUCACCAAGGCAACGAUGCGUAGCCGACCUGAGAGGGUGAUCGGCCACACUGGGACUGAGACACGGCCCAGACUCCUACGGGAGGCAGCAGUAGGGAAUCUUCCGCAAUGGACGAAAGUCUGACGGAGCAACGCCGCGUGAGUGAUGAAGGCUUUCGGGUCGUAAAACUCUGUUGUUAGGGAAGAACAAGUGCUAGUUGAAUAAGCUGGCACCUUGACGGUACCUAACCAGAAAGCCACGGCUAACUACGUGCCAGCAGCCGCGGUAA